UUUCACCCCCUGGCUCUUAAGCAUCAGUGAGCGUUUACAUUGUAACAUUGUUAAAAUGUUACAUUACAAAAAAGGACAGGUAUUGGUACCGGCAAGUACCAGAGAGAAAAUAACGGUACGGUCUUUAAAAAAAAAUGGUAUAUGUGCAUCUGUAGUUGUAAUAGUUGUGUAUGAGUCCAUUUUGUUAAAAAUACCCAUUCACAGAUUUGCAAACUUUUGACCACAGCUGUAACAAGAACACGAGCAUGAUUUUGUUACAUAUGAAUUGAUAGAUGUGACCCUUCUGUAAAGUUAUUCAGCAAUGUUUAAUCCGUUUCUUUUUUAUAUAGCAUGUUAAGUUUGCACAAACAGCCUGCCUGUAGACGCACACUGU